ACAUCAUCAGAACAUAUAUAUACUAAAAUUGUAAGCAUACAGAGAAAACUAGCAUGGCCCCUGUGCAUGGACAACACACAUACUCAUUCACUAAGCAUUCCAUUA
ensembl:snRNA U6 U6 spliceosomal RNA